AGACCGUGCAAGCGCUGUCAUUGACAGCAACCCAGGUAGCCAGAACCUUUAAGGCUACGCCACUGCGUGGUGGUUCUCCCCCAAGUGCGAUUAGCGUCCGGCGGCUCGCACAGUCACAGCAAUGUGAUGGAUGC
rfam:Pseudomonas sp. VI4.1 NODE_50_length_50012_cov_27.6552, whole genome shotgun sequence.